GAUGAACGCUGGCGGCGUGCCUAAUACAUGCAAGUCGAGCGAACGGACGAGAAGCUUGCUUCUCUGAUGUUAGCGGCGGACGGGUGAGUAACACGUGGAUAACCUACCUAUAAGACUGGGAUAACUUCGGGAAACCGGAGCUAAUACCGGAUAAUAUUUUGAACCGCAUGGUUCAAAAGUGAAAGACGGUCUUGCUGUCACUUAUAGAUGGAUCCGCGCUGCAUUAGCUAGUUGGUAAGGUAACGGCUUACCAAGGCAACGAUGCAUAGCCGACCUGAGAGGGUGAUCGGCCACACUGGAACUGAGACACGGUCCAGACUCCUACGGGAGGCAGCAGUAGGGAAUCUUCCGCAAUGGGCGAAAGCCUGACGGAGCAACGCCGCGUGAGUGAUGAAGGUCUUCGGAUCGUAAAACUCUGUUAUUAGGGAAGAACAUAUGUGUAAGUAACUGUGCACAUCUUGACUGUACCUAAUCAGAAAGCCACGGCUAACUACGUGCCAGCAGCCGCGGUAAUACGUAGGUGGCAAGCGGUAUCCAGAAUUAUUGGGCGUAAAGCGCGCGUAGGCGGUUUUUUAAGUCUGAUGUGAAAGCCCACGGCUCAACCGUGGAGGGUCAUUGGAAACUGGAAAACUUGAGUGCAGAAGAGGAAAGUGGAAUUCCAUGUGUAGCGGUGAAAUGCGCAGAGAUAUGGAGGAACACCAGUGGCGAAGGCGACUUUCUGGUCUGUAACUGACGCUGAUGUGCGAAAGCGUGGGGAUCAAACAGGAUUAGAUACCCUGGUAGUCCACGCCGUAAACGAUGAGUGCUAAGUGUUAGGGGGUUUCCGCCCCUUAGUGCUGCAGCUAACGCAUUAAGCACUCCGCCUGGGGAGUACGACCGCAAGGUUGAAACUCAAAGGAAUUGACGGGGACCCGCACAAGCGGUGGAGCAUGUGGUUUAAUUCGAAGCAACGCGAAGAACCUUACCAAAUCUUGACAUCCUUUGACAACUCUAGAGAUAGAGCCUUCCCCUUCGGGGGACAAAGUGACAGGUGGUGCAUGGUUGUCGUCAGCUCGUGUCGUGAGAUGUUGGGUUAAGUCCCGCAACGAGCGCAACCCUUAAGCUUAGUUGCCAUCAUUAAGUUGGGCACUCUAAGUUGACUGCCGGUGACAAACCGGAGGAAGGUGGGGAUGACGUCAAAUCAUCAUGCCCCUUAUGAUUUGGGCUACACACGUGCUACAAUGGACAAUACAAAGGGCAGCGAAACCGCGAGGUCAAGCAAAUCCCAUAAAGUUGUUCUCAGUUCGGAUUGUAGUCUGCAACUCGACUACAUGAAGCUGGAAUCGCUAGUAAUCGUAGAUCAGCAUGCUACGGUGAAUACGUUCCCGGGUCU
rnacentral:rRNA from 1 species